rnacentral:lncRNA from 1 species
ACUACCUGCAAGAACUUUCCUUUCCUCCCAAGCCGACUUUGAACCAGCUCUCUGGGCUUGGAGACCAGCCCCAGCCCGCCCGGGCCUGGCGCACGGGGUGCGGCCGAGUCGUGCUGGGACAGCUCCACGUUGCCUCAGAAGCAGCCGAGUGUGCUCCUAAGAGUAGAUCCCGCUGGGAGUGGAGAGGAGAGGAGAGGAGCUGAUUUUGCAGAGGCCCACAGGGAAGCGCCAGGCUGUGUGUGGAGACAACCGGGACUGGGGGGUCGUUAUGGCGAGAAAUGAAUGAAACACAAAUGAAUGGACCGCGAGGGUGGCCGACACGAGGUGAUUUCCAGAAGGGAGCGUGCCUUCCGCUCGCCUGAAGCCACCAAGACACAUCGGAUACAUCGCACCAGACUCGCACACCUCACAGCCGGGCGGAGGCGCAGGGUCCAAGCCUAAAUUUCUGCGGUUGGAAGUGCCCAGCCGGGAGGCAGAAGGCGCCUAGGCGCGGCAUUCCCAGAGUCGCCCUGCCCUUCGUCGCAGCCUCCUGGACCUGGAGCCCCGGGACGCCUCCCUUACCUGCCCGCCUCGACAGGCUCGCUACGGCUCAGGGCGGUCAUCGCAGCGCCUUCUCCGGGAGCCCGAGGCCGUGCGCCAGACCCAGUGCCCUCCGGGGACCGCCCACCCCGGGAAAGGCCCGCCCCCACACGCCUAUUGGCCGCUCGCGCAGAAUGAGCCUGGCUCAAUUGGUGGAGCCUUCCCCGCUCCCAGACCGCCCUGAUGGGUCCCAGCUGCAGGUAGGUCUUCAAAAUUGUGAGGUCGAGGAAACCAGGGCCUGGGUCCUCAAUUAUGGGACUUCAUAUCAAAAUGUUCCCUCAGGGCUCUUCAUUCUACUCCGCCUUCCAACCUCCUUACCUAACCUGAGCUCUUGGUGCUGCAACAUCUCAAUUUCAGAGGCCUUAGCCUCUGACUAGGUGGCUGUUGGGAGUUGCCAGGGACAAGGGUCCCACCUUGUUUCUAUGUACCUUAUUCCUGAGGGCAACAGGAAAACAAGAGACCCUUUGUGCUUAACUGUUAUGGAGGCUGAGGGUUUUGUGAAGUAUCCAAUCAGGGACUCAUCCUACAGCGCCCUCAACAGGCCUCUACCACAGGGAUCAGCCCACUAUUCGACCAUUCUAGGUGCUAGCUGAACCUGUCCCAGACUUUUCUAGUAUUUGCCCUGAAAUAGAACGGAUCAGCUUCCCGAUACACAGCCGCACUUUGGUGCAGGAGGCAACUUAUAUACUCCCAAAGUAUUCAGUCUCCGGCGUCUCCAGUGGUCCCGUGCUUGAAGGUUAUCUGGUGGAUCCAUAGCACCCAAGGCCAGGCCUCCUGGCUGUUGUCAUUCUCAAUUGCUCAAAGGGCAGGGCUCGACCACCACUACCAACCCCCGGAAAAAAACAAAACAAAACACAAC